GGGCAUGGUGGUGGUGACGUUGAAGGCGAGCGACCGUGGCGCUGUAGUUCUUUUGCAGCCUAGGCUUAGCUUUUAAGUUCUGGCACUUUUAUUUAAGCUUCAAAAUUCAUCAAAGUUAUAUUAUGUUUUGAAGAUUAUCUUGAUGGACAAAACUUGUACGUUUCAUGGCCUAUGGUUGGACACUUUUUUACACUUGGACAUUUUUUGCGAUUGUCGAGGGAACCAGUGCGAUGCUAACAGCCGAGACGCAUACAAAGUGACGUCACAGUUCUAAAAAAAAUGAAAACAUAUGUUCAGAGAAAAAUACACCAGUAACGUACCCUUAACACAAACGAGAUGCACCGAACAAGGAAGUUCCUGACAGAAACGAAAGUUGCUGGUGACACUGGUUUCCGUCGAGCUGCUCUCUCUCAUAACUCACACAGGAGGACCGCAGCUGUAAUUAGUCCACAGAAAAACACACAGGGAUUGAAAAAUUCGGAUAAAAGUGGAAAAUGCACAGGCAUCUAACACACAAAUGGUCGUAUAGAAAGGAAAUGGAUUUUAUUUGACGCCUCUGUUUGUUGUUGAGUGAGUUUU